CUCAUUCAUACUUGUUUACCUCUUUGGGUGGGUUUAGUGACAUCUCUGAACUGUCAAAGGGACUGGGUCUUGAUACAGUAUCCACAGUCAGCGUCUAUCUUCAUGAGCUCUGGGAACCGAAGUGAUGCAGAACAUUUUUUGAUGUGUGUAAAAAAAAUCAGCAACAUUUAUAAAUAUAAAACCAGAAGCAAAAGUGACUUGCACUGUUCAUCACCCAGCUUUAGUGUAGCACAAAAAAGAUUGUGGACCUGUGAAUCCUGAAGGGGCAGACAGAGCAACUCGACAAGUUUGUGGUGUGCAGAUUUGAUACGCCAAGUGGCCGUAGUGGAGCUGCAGUAAAUUGUUUUAGCAAAAUGGAGGAUAUGAAGAAGCGUGCACAAGUGGUCUGGUGGUAUGCAGAGACAAAAUCGGUGACCCAAGUUGCAAAGAAACUUUCGUCGAGUUUACAACAAAGGGCCCCCGUUGUUGAAGACUAUAAAGAAGUGGUGUGAUCAGUUUUUGGCUACUGGGAGUGUUGCAAAAGGGCGUGGUGGUGGUAAGCCUGGGAUCAGCGUUCAUCAUGUGGAACAAGUGCGGCGGUCACUCCAAAAGUUAAUGUGUGGUGUGGUUUGAUGAUAAAUCACAUUGUUGGGCCGUUUCUCUUUCAGGAGCCGACUGUGGAUGGAGCCUUCUACUUGGACAUGUUGGAACAUUUUGCCGUGCCACGGAUUACAGACCUGCAGCCAAAUAUGAUGUUUCAACAGGACGGUGCACCACCCCAUUCAAGCCUUGAUGUCCGAAAAUUUUUAAAUGACACAUUCCCACAACGAUGGAUUGGCCGCGGAGGUCCAACUCCUUGGUCGCCACGUUCGCCCGACAUAACCCUUCUCAAUUUUUUCUUGUGGGGUUAUGUGAAAGACCGGGUACACACUACACCAGUAAAGGACCUGCAAGACUUGAAACAGCGCAUAAGAAUUGUCAUCAACUCUGUCACAGAACAGAUGCUCCGCAACACAUGGCACGAAAUCGAUUAUAGACAUGAUAUUCUUCGCGCUACCCGUGGCGCCCAUGUUCAAUUGUACUGAACCGUCCACCUGUGUAUGAAAACUUGAUGAGCUGCUGUAUGAUUUCCCUGUAUCUGUUCGUCAAUAAAUUGUGUUUUUACUCUGA